rnacentral:rRNA from 1 species
UAAGCCGUUGAAGGUGAAUCGUAAGGUUUGCUGGAGGUAUCAGAAGUGCGAAUGCUGACAUGAGUAACGACAAAGGGGGUGAAAAACCUCCUCGCCGGAAGACCAAGGGUUCCUGUCCAACGUUAAUCGGGGCAGGGUGAGUCGACCCCUAAGGUGAGGCCGAAAGGCGUAAUCGAUGGGAAACGGGUUAAUAUUCCCGUACUUCUGACUAUUGCGAUGGGGGGACGGAGAAGGCUAGGUGGGCCAGGCGACGGUUGUCCUGGUUCAAGUGCGUAGGCUUGAGAGUUAGGUAAAUCCGGCUCUCUCUAAGGCUGAGACACGACGUCGAGCUGCUACGGCAGUGAAGUCAUUGAUGCCAUGCUUCCAGGAAAAGCCUCUAAGCUUCAGAUAGUCAGGAAUCGUACCCCAAACCGACACAGGUGGUCGGGUAGAGAAUACCAAGGCGCUUGAGAGAACUCGGGUGAAGGAACUAGGCAAAAUGGUACCGUAACUUCGGGAGAAGGUACGCUCUUGAUGGUGAAGUCCCUCGCGGAUGGAGCUGACGAGAGUCGCAGAUACCAGGUGGCUGCAACUGUUUAUUAAAAACACAGCACUGUGCAAAAUCGCAAGAUGACGUAUACGGUGUGACGCCUGCCCGGUGCCGGAAGGUUAAUUGAUGGGGUUAGCGCAAGCGAAGCUCUUGAUCGAAGCCCCGGUAAACGGCGGCCGUAACUAUAACGGUCCUAAGGUAGCGAAAUUCCUUGUCGGGUAAGUUCCGACCUGCACGAAUGGCGUAAUGAUGGCCACGCUGUCUCCACCCGAGACUCAGUGAAAUUGAAAUCGCUGUGAAGAUGCAGUGUACCCGCGGCUAGACGGAAAGACCCCGUGAACCUUUACUACAGCUUGGCACUGAACAUUGAACCUACAUGUGUAGGAUAGGUGGGAGGCUAUGAAGACGUGACGCCAGUUGCGUUGGAGCCGUCCUUGAAAUACCACCCUUGUAUGU